rnacentral:tmRNA from 1 species
GGGGGUGACUGGUUUCGACUGGAGUAGUAUGGAUUAUGUGCAUGUCGGACUGGGCAAUUCCGUUAUGCGGCCCAACGCAAAUAAACGCAAAAAAUACAAAUUAUUCUCCUGCUUACGCUUUAGCUGCGUAAGUUUAACAAACUUUAGGAGUGCCUUGCUGCCGAGUGUUAUCAUAGGUAGAUCUUUAGGUAUCAUAAAAUGAUAACUUAUUCUAUUGAGCGCCUGAUCAAUAGAUGAAAUUUUAGGCUGGUAAUGUGUAGCUUUGGGUAUUGAGCAAAGCAUUAUGAGAUAUAUCAAUACCAUCUAAACAUGUAGAGUCAUAAUUCGAGCUAUUUUAGGACUGGGGUUCGAUCCCCCACACCUCCACCA